UCUUUGAUGGUAUAGUGGUUAGUAUUUGUGUCUGUCAUGAGCCGUAACUCAAGGUUGCGUGAGACCAGUGUUCAAUUCCCCGCUUGAGGG